GAUGAAGAACGUAGCGAAAUGCGAUAAGUAAUGUGAAUUGCAGAAUCCAGUGAAUCAUCGAAUCUUUGAACGCACCUUGCGCCCCUUGGUAUUCCGAGGGGCACACCUGUUGGAGUGUCAUGAAUACCUCAACCCUUAUAGGUUUUAUCACUUGUAAGGUGUUGGUUGUGAGCGUUUGCCGGUCGCAAGAUUGGCUCGCUUUAAAAUCAUUAGCUGGAUCCACUUUGACCUGGUUCUACUCGGCGUAAUAAGUUAUUAUCGUUGAGGACACUUUUCUUAGGAAUGGUGCCACAGUAAAGGUUGCGAACCGCUUCUAAUACGUCUGCUUAGUCUUCGGGCUAUGCAACACUUUUAUCUCUGACCUCCAAUCAGGUGGGACUACCCGCUGAACUUAAGCAUAUCAAUAAGCGGAGGA
rnacentral:misc_RNA from 1 species